rnacentral:misc_RNA from 1 species
AAAUCUGAAUCCAGUUAUUUUGCUGUGGAGAGCCAAGGCGAGGAAUAAACAGAUGCGGGAGGAGAAUGGUACGAUCGAAAAAGGCAGCAGUUGCCGCGUCGACGGCAACUGCAAAAGAGUAAAUCCAAUCAACGAGACCGGAGCCGGAGGAACAGGCUCCGGUGAAGGCGUAUCUUCAUCUCCGGCAUCUUCGUCGUUGUCAUCCAAGAAUCAAGGAAAAUCAUGCAAAGGAUGUCUAUAUUACUCGUCUACUUUCAAAUCCAAUUCUCGCAAUCCUCUCUGUAUCGGCCUUAGUAGUUCCCUUCCUCAAGUACCUCGAUAUAUUGUUGGGGAAUCCGAGAAGGAAGCUUCUAAAGAGGGUCGGAGCUUUACCGAUUUUAGAUAUGCUUGUGUCGGUUAUUCUGUUUACUUGGAUCAGAAAUCUCGAUCAACUGAAGCUCAAAAGGCACAAACAGAAUUGCCUGUCUGUGUUGGCCUUGAGGUUUUGGUGGAUAAAAGACCCACUUCAGCUGAUGCAACUCCUGGCCAUACUCCUGCUCAUAACAGAGAAGGUGGAAAUAAACCUCCACAGCCCCGAUCAAACAAACCAACUAACUCAGCUGGUGAUGAGUUCCUUACCAGGUUCUCCAGGAAUGCUAACUUGGUUGCGAUGGGGGUCGCCAAGAACUUGCGGAAAGUAGGGAGUCGAAUAAAAGAAAGUGUUGAUGACAUCUUUUAUGGACGCCCAAAAUAGGAUCCCUAAUCGUUAAAUAGAGAAAUGAAAUGAGCAUUGAGCUGAAUGUUGCUCCAACAAAUAAUAUCAUACUUUUGCUUCAUUCGUCUUGGAAUAGGUUAAAAGGAAACCUUGUAAUGUGUCUUUCAACAUUGCCAUUUGUAGUUUAGAAGCAUAAUUAGCUCUGACCAGGGGUGAGUUCUGUAAUCGUUUGUAUAAACUUGGUUAUCCUGUUGGUUGAGGAAAUGCAA